CCAUUAUGUUAUGAUUGAAUUUAAUUGAAUUUCAAGUCAAGAUCAACGUAUCAAGUACAUAAAACACUGGGACGUCGUUGUUGAACUAUUUAGAGGUCCUGUCUGGCCUCUGGACAGGUUCUGCUUAUUUUAAUGGAGCUAUGGAGACGACUAAUCAAACUCAUUUAGGCUUAAAUAUUAGUGACUUGAUUGAUGUUAUUGACUUAUUAAAUAAGUGUGGCUUUCAAGGAACAAAGUGGCAAGAGUUGGGACUGAGGCUAGGGCUACUGAAAGAUACACUGGAAGCCAUUGAAAUGAAGCACCAUGGAGACGUGUAUCACUGUAUGACUGAAUCACUCUCCCAUUGGCUACGUAGAGCUGAUAAUGUUGACAGUAGAGGAGGAGCCAACUUGGACUCACUGUCAGAUGCUCUACAAUCAAUGAACAAGACUGCUGUCGCUGAGAAGUUAAAACAUCAUGUCUUUCUUAAUAUCCUUAAAAAUCGUUAUACUGUCCUCUUUCAGUCUCUUUGUGAUUCUGUUAGCAUUGCUUGGUCACUUUAUGCUGAACGUAUGUUAACACAAGAAGCAGUUAGUAGAGUGGUGUCAGCUAGUCCCUCUAUUCCUAAUCAACGUGAGGCUUUAUUAACUGCUGUCAGAGAAGCUGUCCACACUGAUUCUAACAGUUUACGUACAUUUGCUAAUGUAUUGUGUACAAUAAGUACUAAUGUAUCACUAGGACAAGCUCUACUGGAUGAUAUCAGUAAGUAUUUUCCUAUUCCUGAAGUAGCUGUGGUUCCUGAGACUAUUAAAGAUAGUGAUUUACUUGUAGCUCCACAAGACACAUCUUCUGAUAGUGAAGCUGCUAGUAAUUCCUUCUCCCAACCUUUAUCACCUCAAGUUGAAGUACAUGUUCCUGUGUCAAAAGGCUUACUGGCAGACUUCACCUCGAUGAGAAUGUCUUAUGGAAGAAUGUUUUACAAUGUUGGCAAGAUUAUUAAACAAAAAUCUCUUUCGUUAGAAGAAAUAAAGGAAUUUUUGUCUUGUUGUAGCACAGUUCUUGGUAAUAAAGUUGAGCAAUGUUCUGACAUUUCUAGUGUCUUGCGUCUUAUUCGUAAUGAGUGUUCACUGACUGAUAUUGAGCUCCUUCAUACUGUAGUGGAAGAAAUGGAUAUUACUGAAGCUGCAAGAUACAUCGAGGUGUAUAGAACAGAGCUAAAGGAAUUCUGCAAGUCACUUUCCAUUAGUCUUUGUUUGAAGGAAAGAUUUUCUUCCAUUCCUCAUCUUCAAUGCGAAACAGUUACUUUAAUUUUUGACUGGGAGCCCGAGGAACAUGUGCUGAAGGAUAUUAAGGAUAUACUAUCAAAAGUAUCCGGUAAACUACUGAUUAUUAAGUAUAUUGAAACCUCCACUUCAAUAUCUGUCACUUGCACCUUUCCUUUCUCUGAUGUUGGGUUUACUGUAUUGAGAAUGAUAGAGAAUAUUCAUAUACUAAUGGGACAAGGAUUAAAGAAACUGACUAUUGGUAACUUAGCAUUAUGGAGGAGACAAGAUGUUAGAAAAAAGGAACUAAAGGAAAAGGAUCAAGACUUACUGCAAAAUACAGAGGUUAUUUCUCAUAUUAUACUUAAAGAAGUUGAAUAUAGACUAAGAGAUGCUGUCAGUAGUCAAGAGAAGAAAACAAUUGAAUUGAAACAAGAAAUAUCAAUGAUGACAGUUUCAACAGUACCUGAGGAAGCAUCAUUGUAUGUCCAGAGUGAUAAAGAGUGCACUGUAUUGAGGUCUCAGUUUAAUGAGAGAAAAGAAGAAAACCAAGAAUUGUCAGAAAAACUAUCAAAAAUGAAGAUUGAUUAUUUGAGAACACUUUCUAGUAAUACUGGCUCAGCUGCUAGCAAACUAAGAAGAGGAAUGGCUCUUGAAAUUGAUGACUGCAAAUUUUGUUUUGAAGCCAUGAAAACUCCACACUAUCAGCCAUUGGUAGAUAAUGAAAAAAUAAUAGAGAAUUUACAAGAAAGAAUAACAUUAAUGAAUAUGCAGCUAAUUACUAAAAGAGAAGACAAUGAGAAGAUUAUCAAAGUUAUCAAAGAUUUGAAAAAGGUUGAUCAGAGACUGAAAGAAAAGGAACAGGAUAUUGAAAAAGAAAUGAAAAUAAAAUUCAUAUUAUCUUGUAAUCAUCCUGUUACUGGUAAAUUAACAAAUUCAUUCCUUAAAAUACAUAAAGAUGAACUACUACCCAUAGUACUGGAUAAAGCUUACAAGUUAAUGAAAUUAGCUCCUCAUAUUCCUAUUAAGAGAUGUCGUUUAGUGAAAUAUGAUUAUUCUUUUGAUGUAAUGGAACAGUCCUUUGAUAUUGAUGAAUUUCAGCAUCAAACUAUUCUACAGCUUAUGGGUAUGGAUGGGUAUUAUGAUUUAUUCUUAGAAACUCGUAAAGAAACAGAAACAUUUAAAAAAUACAAUAAUGGAGGCAUUAAAUUAAAGAUAUCAGUGGUUGAUGUGUCCACUGGUGAAGUAGGACCAGUUAAACCAAUGAGAGGUGAAAUGGGCUGGACUAUUGAGGAAUUAAAACAGUAUAUUGGUGAAGUAUUUGAUCUUAAUUCAUCUUGUAUGAGAUUAGUACAGGUGUAUGGUUAUCAGGACAUUACUUCAAUUUGUGAAGUUACAUGUAGAAAAUUAAAAAGUACUAUUGAGAAUAUACUCCAUGGAAACAGAUCUAGUUCUUACAGACAAUUUUAUGUAUCAUCAGAUCCUGAAGAUUGUGAAAAAGAAUUUGAAGAUAGUUUGAUGUACAAAUAUGUUGAUUAUUACAUCAACUGGGUACAACUAAACAUAACAUUACCUCCACAACCUGAAGUCACUUCCACUACAAGUAAUAGGAGAGAAGGAGAAAUAAUAAUGAAGAUUGUAUCAAUGAAUGAAGAAAAGAAAGGAAAAGAAAGAAAGGUACUGGUAGAAGUUGACAGGAGAAUAACAUUAGCUCAAUUGAAAGAGGAGCUUGUUCCACUGAUUGGUGUACCACCUACUGGUUUCAUAGUGUAUAGAAUCAGUGGUUUUAAAGCAAAUGAAAUGAAGGAGCUGGAUGGAACAUUAAAAGAUAUUACAUCUGGAUCAGAGUUGAUAGUAAGACUACUUGUAGGUAGACCAGCACAAGAAGGAGGCUACUGCAAAAUUAAAUUAUAUUUAUUGCAAGUUAACAAUACAGAGUUUUGUAAUUUUAUGAUGGAGUCUAUUGUUCCUAAGAAUACACCAGUAAGAGAAUUUAAGAAACGAAUUAUUGAAGAAGUAAAAGUACAAGGAAUUGACUGUAUUCUUGAAUUAGACAAAAUGAGAUUACGGGAGAAGUGGGGAGUGUCCGCCCGUGUCCUAUAUCUUGAUGAUCAGUUGAUUCAUGCUAGCAGGAGCAUAUAUGUGGAACUAUUGAAACGGCCAGAGAAGAAGUAUGGUAGACAAAGACAGGUGUAUGUUAUUAGGUGGCGUCCAUCACAAUGUUCAGUUGAUCCAACAGAAGAAAUUAUAGUGGAUAAUAAUUAUGAUUCUAAGCAUGUUAUUGAAAAGCUGUCAGACUUGAGUGGAAUUUCUGCUGAGUAUAUCACUUAUGCAAAGAGUACAUCAUUCCCAACUAAAAUAUCUUGUCUUAACAUUGAAAAUCAUUUGGAAUGGAGAUAUUCACUCAGACUGAAGCAGCACCUUUUAUUAUAUGAUGGAUGUGUCAUAUAUUACAAUGACACCUCUUACUGUUUUAAUUAUUUAGAGACAACAGAGAGAAGAUGAAAGAGCUAACAGAUAAAGAGAUAUCAGAAAUACAAGAAGCUGAAGAAGCAAGGUUAAAGAAAAUUAGAGAAUACACAUUAUGAACAUGACCAUUGAUUCUCAGAAUGGAUUGGCUUGAUUUUGGUGUCAUA
rnacentral:misc_RNA from 1 species